AUUGAACGCUGGCGGAAUGCUUUACACAUGCAAGUCGAGCGGCAGCGCGGUCUUCGGACUGGCGGCGAGCGGCGAACGGGUGAGUAAUACAUCGGAACAUGCCCAGUCGUGGGGGAUAACACUUCGAAAGAAGUGCUAAUACCGCAUACGUCCUGAGGGAGAAAGCGGGGGAUCGCAAGACCUCGCGCGAUUGGAGUGGCCGAUGUCAGAUUAGCUAGUUGGUGGGGUAAAGGCCUACCAAGGCAACGAUCUGUAGCUGGUCUGAGAGGAUGAUCAGCCACACUGGGACUGAGACACGGCCCAGACUCCUACGGGAGGCAGCAGUGGGGAAUUUUGGACAAUGGGGGCAACCCUGAUCCAGCCAUUCCGCGUGAGUGAAGAAGGCCUUCGGGUUGUAAAGCUCUUUCGGCAGGAACGAAACGGCGAGCUCUAACAUAGCUCGCUAAUGACGGUACCUGAAGAAGAAGCACCGGCUAACUACGUGCCAGCCGCCGCCGUAAGAC
rnacentral:rRNA from 1 species